GAUGAACGCUGGCGGCGUGCUUAACACAUGCAAGUCGAACGAUGAACCGGGUGCUUGCACUCGGGGAUUAGUGGCGAACGGGUGAGUAACACGUGAGCAACCUGCCCCUGACUCUGGGAUAAGCGCUGGAAACGGCGUCUAAUACUGGAUAUGUCCCGUCACCGCAUGGUGUGCGGGUGGAAAGAUUUUUCGGUUGGGGAUGGGCUCGCGGCCUAUCAGAUUGUUGGUGAGGUAAUGGCUCACCAAGGCGUCGACGGGUAGCCGGCCUGAGAGGGUGACCGGCCACACUGGGACUGGGACACGGCCCAGACUCCUACGGGAGGCAGCAGUGGUGAAUAUUGCACAAUGGGCGGAAGCCUGAUGCAGCAACGCCGCGUGAGGGAUGACGGCCUUCGGGUUGUAAACCUCUUUUAGCAGGGAAGAAGCGAGAGUGACGGUACCUGCAGAAAAAGCACCGGCUAACUACGUGCCAGCCGCCGCGGUAA
rnacentral:rRNA from 1 species